rnacentral:rRNA from 1 species
CCUUGUACACACCGCCCGUCACACCAUGGGAGUUGGUUUUACCCGAAGGCGAUGUGCUAACCGCAAGGAGGCAGUCGACCACGGUAGGGUCAGCGACUGGGGUGAAGUCGUAACAAGGUACCC